GCCUGGGUGGCUCAGUUGGUUGAGCACCUGACUUCGGCUCAGGUCAUGAUCUCACAGUUUGUAAAUUCUAGCCCUGCGUCAGGCU
rnacentral:tRNA from 1 species